rnacentral:rRNA from 1 species
UAACGGCGAGUGAAGCGGUAAAAGCUCAAAUUUGAAAUCUGGUACUUUCAGUGCCCGAGUUGUAAUUUGUAGAAUUUGUCUUUGAUUAGGUCCUUGUCUAUGUUCCUUGGAACAGGACGUCAUAGAGGGUGAGAAUCCCGUUUGGCGAGGAUACCUUUUCUUUGUAAGACUUUUUCGAAGAGUCGAGUUGUUUGGGAAUGCAGCUCAAAGUGGGUGGUAAAUUCCAUCUAAAGCUAAAUAUUGGCGAGAGACCGAUAGCGAACAAGUACAGUGAUGGAAAGAUGAAAAGAACUUUGAAAAGAGAGUGAAAAAGUACGUGAAAUUGUUGAAAGGGAAGGGCAUUUGAUCAGACAUGGUGUUUUUUUAAUGUGCAAGUCUCUCGUGGACAUGUGCCUCUGGAAAUUAACACUGGGCCAACAUCAGUUCUGGCGGCAGGAUAAAUCAUUAAGAAUGUAGCUACCUCGGUAGUGUUAUAGCUUUUUGGAAUACUGCCAGCUGGGAUUGAGGACUGCGCUUCGGCAAGGAUGUUGGCAUAAUGGUUAAAUGCCGCCCGUCUUGAA